rnacentral:sRNA from 1 species
ACUGCAUGUUAUUGUGUUCAGUGUAGCUGUUCAUUAGUGUAGCACAUAGGAUAUACAUGUAGUUUUCAUUGAUUGAAGAAUUAUGGCAAAAAAAAAAUAUCAAGAACACAAUUAGAAAUUGAAGACUUUCUAUUUGUGGAACUUCAUCAUUGUUUUUCAUGAUAAAGUAAGGUUUUAAUGUGAAAUAUAGGCUGUAAUAACAAAUAUAUAUGGUGCAUUGUAAUUUGCAGAGAUAUUAUAUAUAUAUUUUAUUUUUAAAUUAACAAAUGGUUUAAGUAAAUGUAUAAUGACAUAUGAAGUGCCACUAAUUUUUUGAUUCUUUUAUAUUGUUAUAUGUGUGUAUCUAUUGAAUCUUUAUUUGUUUUUGUUUCAUCUGUUGGUGUAUCUUAUGUUAAGAUCUUUAAGCAUUGACGAAUUGGUGUUGCUGGUGACAUAUUAUAACAAGAAAAAUUUUAAUGUACAUGACCAUAUGCAUGUAUAUCAUUUCAUAUGUACUAGUUCCCACAUUGUUUAGUAUACAUUAUUGUAAUUUUUAUCAGUUGUUAAACAUGUUGUCUUUUGAAGAGGAUAAAAAUCUUUUUUAUUAAUAAAUUAU